CAAAUAACAUUUUCCCUCAUAAACUCAACUGCUGCAGGGCAGACAGCACUGAUUUAGGAGUUGAGGAAAUGGUCUCAUUGCUCAUUCAGACUCUAUUAAGGAAGAGUCCUAGCAGACUUAAUUUAUAAGGCUCAGUUCCUCCACUGUAUGAUGCAAAUCAACUUCCUCCCUCUGGACCAUUUUAUAUAACUACCAGCAACAAGGAGGAAAAAAAAAAUCAAACCAACAGUUAAUUUUACCUCUUUGCGUACUAACAAAAAGAUUUGAUUAUAAAAACUCUUAGAAUAUAUUGAAUAAAUAUAUUUGAUUAACCAUAGCAAUUCUACCUUAGGUGAUUUCUUCCUAGACAAUUAUCAGGAUAAGUUUUCUCAGCUUUGACCCUUUUGAGGGAGGUCAAUGAGAAAUCGAAAGAAUGCAAUAUGAGCAAGGUUCCAGUGAGUAAUAAUGAUUAAGAAAUUUCUCUUCUCUCUGCCUUUUGACAGUAGGUGUUGUUGAAGACUGCUUUGUCUGCUAGUGUGGAAAAGAACCUGCGCUCAUUUUAGAGGCUGCACAUUAAAGUGACGCUCAGUAGAUACAGCAGUGACACCACAGAUAGCAACUUACACACUAGAAUUUCUCAUUGAAACCUAUAAGCACAUUUAUUGUCCUUGUAAAGAAUCUUUAGCUACAUUUUUCUAAAGUUUUUUGUGAAAACAAUUAUUAGGCUUAAAGAACAAAUAAAAAUAACCUGAUCUUGUUGAUUUUAUCAGUGAUAUUUCUGAUAGAAUGUUCAACAAGUUAUAAUUAACAUUUAAUUUCAAGAUUCAUGAUUUUCAUGUCAGCUUUAAACAGGACAGAAAUUUCAAGAAAGACAUAAUCUAGCCAUAUUGUCUACAGGCCCACAAUUCCACAGUUAGCUACAGACAGGACAAACAUAAAAUACAGGGAGUAACCAGGGCCAUUACUAUCUUGGGCUGGGCAUCCCUGCAGGAAACUUAAUUCUAUGGAUGGGAUCAUUUGAAACAUGUAUCAAGUAUCCUCUGUUACAAUAUCUAAAAUCUGGCCGGCGCCGCGGCUCACUAGGCUAAUCCUCCACCUAGCAGUGCCAGCACACCGGGUUCUAGUCCCAGUCAGGGCGCCGGAUUCUGUCCCGGUUGCCCCUCUUCCAGGCCAGCUCUCUGCUGUGGCCCGGGAGUGCAGUGGAGGAUGGCCCAAGUACUUGGGCCCUGUACCCCAUGGGAGACCAGGAUAAGUACCUGGCUCCUGCCAUCGGAUCAGCGAGGUGCGCCGGCCGUGGCGGCCUUUGGAAGGUGAACCAACAGCAAAGGAAGACCUUUCUCUCUGGCUCUCUCUCUCACUGUCCACUCUGCAUGUUAAAAAAAAAAAAAAUCUAAAAUCUACUUUAAAAUCCAUUUGAAGAGGAAAUGCAAUUGGAUAUAUGAGUCAGCUAAAGCUUCAACAGGAAUCUUCUGAAGAGUCCACCCCUUCAACACCACUGUAAACAAAAAACUGCACACAAGAGACAGCUCAUACAGGACACUCAACUAUCUACCGAAAUCAAACCGAGGUCUUGUUAGCAUAGCAUACUAAUGUCUGCCAUUGGAUUUCUCCAGUAAAACUAUUCAAGAUGCGUGGAUUAGCUAAAAUCUCUCAGAGGUGUUCCACCACUAUCCCUCUCUAUAGACAAAGAAUGAGAAUCUACUGAAGGCUACAGUUUGGUGCUUUGGCUGCCUGAGAAUUAAAACUUAAACAGGACUGGCUAAGUCCAAUGGUUGAGUUAGACUUCGAGUUGCAACCUACAAAAGAAAAAGAGUUCUACCUCUGUGAUGUGCUUGCUUCCAUCAGAGCAAACUCUUCAGAAAAGAUCAUGGCGACAAUCCACAUAAGGACAGAGAGAGAUGCUUGCUGGAAAAGCACAUUCUUGGAGGAGCAGCACAUGUGAGUGAAAAGAACAGGAUCGAUCGACGAAGAGGCUUGGGUGCACUAUCGGCCAAAGGAAGAAUUACAGAAGGGAGUCAUCCUCAGCCAUACUACCCACUGCAGGUGAAGCAACAAAAUAAGCUGGAAUAUGGAUCUCUGGACAACCUGAUGGAAUAGAGGCACAGUACCUCCCUCAACACACACUUGUCCAUACUUCUCAUGAAAGUGAAAUCAACUUCCUGCUUAAUAAGAUGAAAAGAGACAGCCAAACCAAUAGUUUACCUAACAUCUACUUAGCAUCAGGUGUUGUGCUGGACAUGGUGGUAAAAACACAGAAGACCAAGGAAAUGAAAAAGCUCAUCAUCCUUUGCCCAGCCAGCUCUCUAUCCCUAUUUCUCUGUUAUUGAUAUCACAUCUCUAAUUGCCAGCACGUUGACUCAUCCUUCCUCUUUUUUCCUCACACCCAGCCACACAUCAAAUUACACCAAUGUUUCCUUAUCAAGAUUUCUCUGUCACAGACACUGCAGGCAGAAUGUGAGGUUGCCUCCAAGAUCCCAGUGCUGCUCUUAGACCAAUGUUCUGUUCUACCUUCAUCAUGCACUUUCCUUUAAAAGACAUUCAGUGAUUCCUUACAGCUCUGCUCUAUUUUCCACAUUCACAGGGUUAACUCUGACUGCUCACUGGACCAAAAUUUUCAAGUCCCACUCUUCCACAGUGCUUUUCCUGAACAUCCUCUGACCUUACACCUAAUGUUUAAAACACUAUCAUCAGGGCCUGUGCAGUGGCAUAGAAGGUUAAUCCACCAUCUACAGGGUCAUCAUCCCACAUGGUUUGAUUUCUGGUUGUUCCAUUUCCAAUCUAGCUCCCUGCAAAUGUGUCUGAGAAAGCAGUAGAAGAUGGCUCAAGUCCUUGUGCCUCUGCACCCAUGUAGAAGACCCAGAAGAAUCUCCUGGCUCCUAGUUUCAGAUCAGUCCAGCUCCAGCCAUUGGAAGGUCUUUCUCCCUCUCUCUGUAACUCUGCCUUUCAAAUGAAAUAAGUAAAUCUUUGGGAAAAAAAAAGACUAUGAGUUUCUCUUUUACUUUGUUAAUACGCUAUUUUCCUACUGGAUAAUACACAUGAUAAAUUGCUGGGGCAACCGUCACUAAAUUAAAAGUACCUGUACACAAUGCCUGCAUCAAAUCACCUAUUCCAAUACCCAGCACAAAGAUAAAAAAUUGCAGCCAACCAAUAAAUAUAUAUGGAUUAAAUGAACCUGUCUAAACUAUUAUUACUUUUUUAGAUGGUCUCUAUAACCUAGGAAAAAUGAUCCCCUCCCUUGGAUGAAAAUCAGAAUCACUGAGGUACCUUCCUAAAUUAACAUUCCUGCUUUCCACUCCAAAGAGUCUUUUUCUUUUUCCUAGCAUAGAGCCCUAGAAUAUGUAUCUAAAGCACAUGUGAAUAAAUAUACACACACAGCUAACACUGAUACAAAUUUAGGAACCACUGAAAAGGAAGUGGUCAAAUAAUUCUUGAGCUGUGAUUCUUCUUCUAAACUCAAAUCAAAAACUGAAAAUACUAACUUACCUAACACCACAGAAUUAUGCCAAAAUGCAGUAGAAAGCAGCUCUGAACUAUAAUUAUUAUGUGAGUAACAAGAUUAAAUUAAAAUAUUUAAUCAGCCAACAAUGGUGUUUCUUAUUAAGAAAUUUUUUAAAGUAUGUAUUUUAUAUAUAUGAUACUAGAAAAUUAAGCUGACUCGCAAAAGGGCUCUACAUUAAAUAUCCCAUAACUCAAUGUUUCUUGCAAUUUCUUACUAUGCAGUGACAAUCAAGCACCAAUGAAAGAAACCAAACAAUUUCCUCACAGUCAAGAUGCAGUCACAACAGAAGUUUUGUUUCCUAAUUCCCAGUUAGGGUAAUACAGUGCUUACUUCUGAAACACCAUGGCACAGCCUUGCUAGAAACUGGGUAUUAGCUUAUAGGGAUAAAUGACCAGAUUCAAUAGGGCAAAUCCUUUUCUGAGUAUGGUAAGAUAAUAACAGUCAACUACAGAGAUGAGGCAAAGGUAAAUUCCAAAGCGAACUUACAGAAUGCAAAAACUGCUGUUUCUCAGACAGAUGUUCAAGUGCAAAGUAAUAUAUGAGAUGGUAUGCAAAGCACUCAAGGAACAACAGAGGCCAAAAGCAGCCUCUGUUUUUCCAAAUGGGAAAGUCACAGGAGAAAAUGAGCAAAUAUGAAGUAGUAAAAGAAAAUUAAAUGAGUAACUUAAGAAUGGAAGGAAAUGCUGAGAGAAUAAUUCUCAGACUCAACAUUCCCAGUGAUUUGAUCUCUAAAGUAGGAAAUCUAUAUUUCAGACUAUAUCUUUGCCUCAAUAAGUAAAUUAGCAGUUAUGUGACUUUGGACAAAUUCAUUAAACUGCAGGUCUCUAUCUGUAGAAUAUAGUUAAUAUUCCAUAUGCAAUAUUUUCAUAAUUUGAGAUAAAGUUAACAACAUGUAAAAUACUUUUAAACUAUAAAACACAUUUUUUGCAAGUUAGGUGUUGGUGUUAUGUUUAGCAAAGCUAAACUAAUAAUUAUGUUUUAUAAUGCUAUAAAAGCACUUGAAUUUAUUUCAACAAGAACCACCAGAGAUAAUAAAAGGUGAUAAGGAAUAAACAUCUAGAAUUAAGAGAGCAAAUAAUCCACACAUUGGCUAAUUCUCACCUCCGUGGAAAUUCACAAAGUUCUUUUUCUCUAAAAGUUCUUUAGACAUACUGUGGAUCAUCUUAUAACUUCAAUUUUUAAAUUUAAUUUCCUUAUUUGGGAAAGAUAAAUUCAUCUCUAGAUUUUCACCAAAUGAGAAUCAGGAACCAAGAGCCUGAAAACAGCCAGACAUCUUAAAUCUUAACUAGUCUACACUCAAAAGUGAAGAAUGCUCUGCUUGUAUGGGAUUUUACAGAGCAAGAGGUUAUCAGGUUUUCUUUAGUCUACACCCACAACCAAGGAGGACUGCAGUCUUAUUUAUACUACUACCUUCUCCUACUCAGAUUAAUG